GAUCAGCCCGCCCCCGAUUAGCUAGUUGGCGAGGUAAUGGCUCACCAAGGCUACGAUCGGUAGCUGGCCUGAGAGGGUGGUCAGCCACACUGGGACUGAGAUACGGCCCAGACUCCUACGGGGGGCAGCAGUCUAGAGGCUUCGGCAAUGGGGGAAACCUCUGACUGAGCGACGCUGCGUGCGGGAUUGAAGGCCUUCGGGUCGUAAAUCUGCUGUCAGGUGGGAAGAAUGCUCCGUAUGGCGAAUACGGGAGCGACGGUACUCAUCUAGAGGAAGCCUCCGGCUAACUCCGUGCCAGCAGCUCGCGGUAAUACGGAGGGGGCAAGCGUUAUUCGGAUUUACUGGGCGUAAAGGGUGCGUAGGCGGCCGCGCAAGUCUGACGUGAAAUCUUCACCGCUCAACGGGAAGAGGUCGUUGGAAACUGGCGUGGCUCGAGUGUGGUAGAGGCAAGUGGAAUUCCAGGUGUAGCGGUGGAAUGUGUAGAUAUCUGGAAGAACACCCGUGGCGAAGGCGACUUGCUGGGCCAUCACUGACGCUGAGGCACGAAAGCGUGGGGAGCAAACGGGAUUAGAUACCCCGGUAGUCCACGCCGUAAACGGUGC
rnacentral:rRNA from 1 species